rnacentral:rRNA from 1 species
AUGGGGGCGGAAGUCGACGCACUGUACGAGAUCGGCCGCCACGCGACAGGAUCCCACGAAAUCCCUUGUGAAAGAGAUGAAACCGCUCGAGCGAGCGGUGGCAGUUCAGGUGAAGGAGGCGGCGUCCUCUUGUAUCUCUCCUUCCAAGGCGUAAGUAAGCUCAGGGAGAGGUGGAGUAGGUACAACGCUCUUGGGGGGAGUAAGCGGAGGAAGAGGGAAAAUGCAGCAUCCUUGUUCGUCUCGCGGAAUGCGGAGUAUGUUGCUGUAGCUGUUGGGAACCGCAUUUAUAUCUUGAGAAAGAGCGAUGGCUAUGAAUCACCCUGCGGCAUAUAUACAAAUAAUAAUAGAAUGGCCUUUUUUACAAACGGGGCCUGGCUGGAGGACCAAGGCAUUUUUGGUGUGGUUGAUGAUUCAAACUCACUGUGUCUCAUAAAAGAAAAUGGAGAUGUAUUAACUAGGAGAACAAGCAAUCAGUUGAAGCUAUCUUCUACUAUCAUUGAUUUGCUUGUGCAGGAUGCUUCAAGUUCACAAAGGGGUUUCUACAUUUUUACUACUGAUUGCAAGGUCCAUAAAUUUGAUUACACUCGAGAACCAGAGGCAGCUUUAUACCAAGUUUCUAUAGUGACUAAAGAUGUGCCAUCAACUAGAUCUCCUCAGUUACCUCAGAGUUUGUCGUGUGUUGAUUAUCAUCAAGAUCAUUCAUUGGUGGUCCUAGUUGGAGAUUCCACUCACUCGUCAAGCUCCAAUGGCUGUUCUGGAGCAUAUUUUCUAUAUGUAUUGCACUUCGAUGAAUAUCUGGAACUUAGUCUUUCAUUCCAAAGUGCGCCGUUGGAAGGAGUGUUUUCACCUCCUACAGAUAGAAAAACUUUGGUCCCGCUUCCAAAAGUCAGAAUCUCACCUCAGGGCAAACGUAUCGCUACAUUGGAUUUGAAUGGUUCUGUCGACAUCUUUGUGCUCAAUGGUAAUAUGCGCUCUGUUUCGCUUCAUCCUCACGGGAGUGGCGCUGGAACACACUUGAUUGGUGUGAAGGACAUCAGUUGGUGGACAGAUAAUAUUCUCAUGAUUGUAAAGGAAGAUGGUAGGAUUAGCAUGUACAGCAUUGCUGAGGAUAUGGUAGUUUCAAAAGGUGACCUUGCUUUAUCUACACCACUGUUGGAAAAGGCAAAGACUAUCGAAGGAUAUGCAUUUGUUUUGCAAUCUAGCAGACAAAUGGAUAGUGUUCCUGGGGAUCAUCAACACACUGAGAUGGAUAAAAUAUUUUGGAGUCUAGUAUCAUUCUCCAAAGUUACAGUACUGGAGAUGUACUCCGUUCUCAUCAGGAAGAAUCAACAAAAGGAGGCUUUGGAUUUUGCCUCCCAGUAUAAUCUAGAUAAGGAUGAUGUGCUUAAAGCAUGCUGGUUGCACUCUGCUGGAGAUAUUCAUGAUAUACAGUCAUACUUGGUGAAAAUCAAAGACCAAGCAUUUGUAUUGUCAGAAUGUGUGAAUAAAGUUGGACCUACAGAAGCAGCUUUGAAAGCCCUAUUUUCUUUUGGCUUUCGCAUGACAGACCGUUACAAGUUUUCGGAGCCGGAUAAUAGCGGUGAUGGCUCAGCAUGGGACAGUCGUAUCAUCAGGCUUCGUUUAUUGUGGUACAACGACUUGCUGGAGACAUUCUUGGGAAUUAAUAUGGGAAGGUUCUCAGCUGGCGAAUAUAGCAAGUUCCGUUUGACGCCCCUUGUUGAUACUGCUAUUGCUCUAGCUGAAAGUGGCAAAAUCGGAGCUCUUAAUCUUCUCAUGAAGCGCCAUCCGUAUACUAUCUCUUCUGACAUUUUACGUGUUCUGUCUGCAAUUCCAGAAACUAUUGCUGUACAGACUUAUAGUCAGUUGCUUCCUGGGAAAUAUCCUCCUAGUGUUGUAAUAUUAAGAGAUGGUGAUUGGGUUGAAUGCAAACAAAUGGCAGCAUAUAUAAACACUUCUCCUGGUCAAUUGGACAAGAGGGGAGUGGUCAAAACAGAAAUACUUUUGAAGCACUCAACUGGUUUCUUAUGGCCAUCUGCCGCUGAACUUUCGGAGUGGUACAGGAGCAGAGCUAGGGACAUUGACUGCCUAAGUGGACAGCUGGAAAAUUGUCUUGCCAUGAUAGAGCUUGCAUGUCAAAAGGGGAUAGUGGAGCUGCAGCCAUUCUUUGAUGACAUGAAAUACCUCUACCAAGUUGUAUAUUCUGAUGAGUCGAAUGAGUUCAUAAUGAACCUUGCAACCUGGGAAGAUUUACCUGACUAUCAAAAGUUUAAGAUCAUUCUGAAAGGAGCCAAAGAUGAUACUGUUGUUCAGCGACUAGACGAUAUGGCUAUCCCUUUUAUGAAUAAGAGAUUGCACUUGAUCUCGUCAAGUAAUGCUGACAAACAAGAAGAAUCCUACCUGACUAGAUGGAUGAAAGAGGUUGCUACUGCAAAUGAGCUGUCCAUUUGCUUGUCUGUUAUUGAAAACGGCUGUGGGGAGUCACCAAUUUGUGGGCUCUUCAAGGAUCUUAAUGAGAUGGUAGAAACUGCUAUUUGCUGCAUUUAUGUAUGCUCUGCAACUAACCAGUGGAAUACCAUGUCAUCAAUUCUGUCGAAGUUACUCCAUAAGACAAAGAGAGAGAAAUCUUUAUUGGCUAGUGAAGAAGAUUUCAGUUUGAAAGAUGCUAAGCAAGCUCUUGGCACUUGUGUGGUUUCCUGUGAUGAUAUGCAGCAUGUGUGUGCUGAUAUCUUGUCUCGUCUGAGUGAUAAUUCAGGGGAUUCUUAUUGCAAUGAUUCAACGGCCUACCAAUUUGGCAACAUAAAAUCCCUUGAUAUGCCAGAGAAGAUGCUAAAAGUUGCUGAAGGUCACGUAGAAGUAGGAAGGCUCUUUGCUUAUUACCAGGUACCAAAGCCAACACAUUUCUUCCUUGCUGCACACUUAGACGAGAAGAAUGUAAAACAACUUAUACGGCUGAUCCUGUCAAAAUUUGGCAGACGUCAACCUGUUCGGUCGGACAAUGAGUGGGCUAACAUGUGGCGUGAUUUGAAGCUCUUCCAAGAGAAGGCAUUUCCUUUUCUUGAUUCAGAAUAUAUGCUCGCUGAAUUCAUUAGAGGGCUUCUAAAAGCUGGUAAAUUUUCACUAGCCAGGAACUAUCUUGGAGGUACUAGUGCAGUUUCUUUGUCCACAGAAAAAGCUGAGAAUCUCGUUAUCCAAGCUGCAAGGGAGUAUUUCUUCUCAGCUUCAACUUUGUCCUGCAACGAAAUUUGGAAGGCUAGGGAAUGCCUAAAUCUGUUACCAAAUAGCAAAAAUGUUCAAGUGGAAACUGAUAUAAUUGAUGCUCUAACUGUCAGACUUCCUUAUCUAGGGGUGACUAUCCUCCCUGUUCAGUUCAGACAGGUAAAGGAUCCUAUGGAGAUCAUCCGUAUGGUGAUUACGAGUCAAACAGGGGCAUAUCUUCAUUUUGAAGAGAUUAUUGAUGUUGCUAAACUACUAGGAUUAAGAAGUGAAGAAGAAAUAGCUGCUGUUGAGGAGGCUAUUGCUAGAGAAGCAGUGGUAAAUGGUGACCUCCAGCUAGCCUUUGAUCUCUGUCUAAAUUUGACUAAAAAGGGUCAUGGGGAAGUCUGGGAUUUAUGUGCUGCAAUUGCAAGAGGUCCUCAGCUUGACAAUUUGGAUACAAGUACCCGCAAAAAGCUAUUGGGCUUCUCCCUUAGCCAUUGUGAUGAAGAAUCUGUAGGGGAACUAUUGAAUGCUUGGAAGGAACUUGAUGUCCACGAUAAAUUUGAACAAUUAAUGGUAUCAACAGGAACAAACCCUCCCAAUUUCUUUGUUGAUGGCUCUACAUAUACACCUCUUCCUGUGCAAAGUGUGCAAGACAUACUUGACCUGAGAGAAGGCGUUAGCCAUGAUAGAGAGCAUGAUCAUGUGGCAAUUGCUAAAGAAAUGCUAUCAAAGGUUUGCAUGGACUUCACAAAUGAUGAUACAUAUAGUCGGGAAUCUACUUUUGCAGAAAAUAGGAAACUAUUGUCCUUCUCUGCACUGGCAUUGCCAUGGCUUUUGAAGUUGUCUAAUGAUGAGGUGCAUGAUGGUAACAAACAUUCUUCGGAGACAAAUCAUCCCAUCAGGAGAUAUCGAUUUUCAACAAAAACGGAGGCAAUAAAUAGUAUCAUAUAUUGGCUAGGUGUACAUAGUUUUGCUCCCAGUGAUGAUCUAAUCAUGUUUCUUGCAAAGUCUAUAAUGGAGCCUCCCGUUGAUGAAGAUGAUUAUGUUCUUUCCUGUUCAAUUCUUCUGAAUCUCAUGGACCCUUUCAAUGGAGUGAAAAUAAUAGAGGAAGAGCUCAAACAACGAGAAUGUUAUCAAGAGAUUAGUAACAUAAUGAAUGUAGGAAUGACAUAUAGCUCCCUCAACAGUUUGAAGAAAGAAUAUUCUACUCCUGAACAGAGGAGAAAUCUCUUGCUUCAAAAAUUCCAUGAGAAGUUUACCUCGAUAGAUUCAGAUGAUUUAGACCAGAUUGAUAUGGCACAUGCCACUUACUGGGGAGAGUGGAAAUCAAAAUUAGAAGAGGAGAAACGAAUGGCUGACCAAGCAAGAAUGCUGAAAAAUGUACUGCCUGAUAUUGACACGUCUCGAUUCUUAUCUGGCGAUGCUAACUAUAUCAAAAAGGUUGUUUUCUCCUUUGUUGACUCCGUAAAGCUGGAGAGAAAACAUAUACUAAAGGAAGCAGUAAAGAUAGCUGAGAACUAUGGCUUGCAGCGAACAGAGGUGCUUUUACGAUUUCUGGGCUGUGCUCUUGUCUCUGAAUAUUGGGAUAACGAUGAUAUUCUGAAUGAAAUUGCUGAAUUCCGGGAGGAUAUUGUCAAAUCAGCUAAGGGGGUGAUUGAUAUGAUAUAUUCAGAUGUCUACCCAGAGAUCGAUGGGUAUAAUAAGCAACGCCUCUCCUACAUCUUUGGCAUCCUUUCAGCAUGUCAUUCGUAUCUUAAGAGGACAAGUAAGAUAGAAUUGACAUACCAAGAACAUGUUCAUACACAUAAGCUUGAGCUAUUUCAGUAUUACAAGGUCCUUGAGGAAGAGUGCAAGAAAGUCUGUUUCAUUGAUGGCUUAAACUACAAAAACAUUGCUGGCCUGGAUAAUCUGAACUUUGACCACUUCAAUGAAGAAGUAUGCAAGAAUAUCCAUGCCUCAACUGUCAGUGCUCUAGCUGAUAUGGUCCAAGCUCUUGUGAGUAUGUAUGUUGAUUUACAGGCUAAUGGUCUUGUAUCACGCCAAGGUGUUUACAAGCAUUAUGUUCUUGGCAUGUUGGCAUCUUUAGAAGGCCGCAAUGAAGCACGGUCAAACAGCACAGAUUGUGAAAAGUUACUAGCAGUCCUUUGUGAAAUUGAGUUGAACUAUGAUAGUUGCAAGGAGUAUAUCCAAACUCUUCCUGCCACAGAUAUUUCAUACAUCAUUGGAAGGUAUUACACACUAUGUUUCCCUUGCAACUUAGCAAGAAGCCAACCACAGGAACCUUCAUGGAAGGAACCUCUCUGUAUGCUGAUAACUCUUUGGAUUAAACUUGUUGACGACAUACCAAGGCAGCCAACUGAUGCUAGCUCAUAUGAAAGGACAGGCUACUUGGAUUCGAACCGGUUAACUCACUGCAUGAGUGCUUUCAGACAGCUGUUAAUAAAUAAUGAGAUAACAGUGCACCAAGGUUGGGAUGCCAUCUCUAUGUUUGUACAAGUUGGCUUUAACAGUGAAAUAAUAAUGGACACAUCACACUUUUGCCGAGCUAUGAUUCUUUCUAGAUGUGGUUUCAAAACUGUAGUUGAAGUGUACCAUGGAGGACAGGAAAAUUUGGAAAGUGUAAAUGCAGACUCGAGGAAUCCGUUGGAUCUCUUAGAGCUUUAUGGUGCUUCUACAGAUGGCUGUUUGUCCGAUCUGAUCGAAGGCUCUUGUGAGUCUCAGGCAUUGCUUCAUAAGCUACUGUCUUCAUUGAGCCAGUCAGUAGGGGAGCAUGCUGACUCUCUUGAAAUGAUCCGAUCUGGGGUCUGGGGAAAGUUGAUAGCCUUUUCUGAGAACAUGCAGCUAGGUAGCCAACUACGUGUCUAUGCCCUGCAGCUGAUGCAGUGUAUUACGGGAAGAAACCUCAAAAGCCUUCCAAAUGAGAUUGUUUCCCAGGUUGAGCCAUGGGAAUCAUGGUAUGAGCCUGGAGCAAGUGAUUCCUUAGCUGAUGAGGGCAGUACUCCCUCUUGCAGCAUCACAGCGAGUCUAGUGGCACUCAGAUCUAAUCAGAUGGUCACUGCAGUUCUGCCAGAUGCUAGUAUCACGCCCGAAAACUUGUCGAGUCUUGACUCUGCAGUAUCUUGCUUCUUACAUUUGUCAGAACGUGCUUCUUCCGUUGAGAGUGUUGCUGUUCUGGAAGCAGUGCUAGAAGAGUGGGAGCAACUGUUCUCUUCACCAAAAGAAGAAUAUGUUCAGCCUCAGGAUUCGCCAAAAGAAGCAAGCGACUGGAGUGAUGGAUGGGAUGAUGGCUGGGAGGCCCUACCAGAAGAGUUGGAGAAUCCAGCGCAAAAGCAAGAUGGUGCGUCGACAUUAUCUGUCCAUCCUCUCCACAGUUGUUGGAUGGAGAUCAUCAGAAAACUUGCUGGGCUUGGUGAGCUUCAGAAGAUCAUUGAGCUUCUAGAUCGAGCAUCCUCAAAGCAUAGCAGGUUGCUAGAGGACGAAGAAGCACACCGCUUGCUUGAACUCCUUUCCGCAGCACCCAACUGCUUCAUGGCUCUCAAAAUCAUGCUGCUGCUCCCAUACGAAGCUCCACAGCUGCAGUGCCUGCAGACGGUCGAGGCGAAAAUCAGGGAAGGAACCGCGUCCACCUCAUCGACAGCCGACGACCACGAGCUGCUGCCGUUGGUCCUGUCAUCCGGAGCCCUGCAGAAGAUCGCUGGAGAAGAGGGGUACUCGAAACUCUUCUCUCACACAUGCCACCUCGUCGGACAGCUCGCGAGGUCGUUCCAGAGCGAUCUCUGCGCGCACUGGGAAGCCGAAUCUAAGAUGAAUCAGAAGUCUUUGCUAUUCGCUAAGGUGCUGCUCCCGUGCUUCAUAUCUGAGCUGGUGCUCAAAGGGCAGUAUCUGUUGGCCGGGUUCAUCGUCUCGAGAUGGAUGCACACACCCGCAUCCCUUGGUCUGGUAGAUGUCGUCGAGCCCGGUUUGCGGCGCUACCUGGAAGGUCAGGUCGCUCAGGCUCAGGCUCAGCAGCAGGUGGGAGAGAGCGACGCUUCUUUUGCUGAAGACGAGCUGUCUAUUAGCCGCACAAUGUCCAGUCUAAGGUUGAAAUUGGUCUCUCUUUUGCAAGCGGCGUUGGUAGCCCUUCCGAGCCAAGAGCCUUAG